AAAUCUAGCAGUCACACUUGUCCUGUGGCUAUGCAGAAGAUGUCAGUCACCAUGGCACCUUUCCCAACAGGCUGAUUUAUUACCUGUGUUGCUGUAGCGUCUAGGAAACCCAGUCACGGACCAGGCCCCAGUGUCCUAGAUGCUGUACAAAUACAGAACAGAGAUGGUCCCUGCCCCAAAGAACUUACAAGCUCUCAGUUCCUUAAUCCCCACUGGUUCCCCCUUUCGUUAUUCCUCAGACCCAUCCCUACACUUUAUUUGUCCAUGUAUUUUGCUGGCCUCUAUUUUUGGGGGCCCCUCCAGUCCUCUCUAAUGGAGAUGGAAGCUUUGGGGUCAUUUCAGGGGUCCCAGGCCUUCCACAAAGGUUACAUAGGCUUGCACCACAGCUGGGCAAACAUAUUCCAUUAAAAUCCCCCCAUUUGUGGAUUCUUCUUUUUUUUAAAAAAAGUUGCAUUUUGUUUGACAUUUUUCAGCUCCCCAAAUGGGAGGAAGCACCAGCACAUUUGGAGGUUUUCAUCAUAAAAGCAUAAAAACAUUGUCAGCAGGGAAAUUUGGCAAAACCAAACCGUUUUCAAAAUCCCCUUCCCUCUCCCCUUCCAAAUUUCUAUUUACCCUGUUCAGACGGCCCCAGCUGGCAGCCUUUUGCCAGCCACUUAAAUAUAAUACCAAAAAUUAAGCUCUCGACUUGAUUGCCGGCCCCAGCCACUUCACUGAGUAUCAUCAGGAUUUUUAUUAGUAUUUCAAGAGCUUUUCUUGGCCGCUCUCUAAUAUUCUUCGAACAUGAGCUCCCCAGAACAUGGGGUCAAGGGGAGUUACUUAUAUCCUGCAGCAAGAGGAUAAGGCUCCUGUCUUUCUUGGCAAGAGUCCCCAGUGAUGUCGGUAUGCAGGAAAUGGAAUAAUCCAGGGGGCUCCUGACUUGCGUUCAGAUAAACCCAGCUGUUGCACAACACUGACCCAUUCAGGAGACACACUACCCCAGGGAAGUGUGAGGGACUGGGCCCAACAGCAACCACAAGGCUUGUCAUGUGAAUGUGCAAAGAAGCAUGAAAGGAAGGACAAACGAAAGAGGGGCUUGCUCCCCUUUUCCUUCCCCAGCACAGCAAGGAUUCAACAGCUCUCCACCACCCACCGCUCCCCCAGACACCAGGGGGUGUUUUGGGUGCACCAGGGCAGGCUCGCUGAGGUUCCUACGUGCAGCCAGCCGGCCAC